CAGCCGUAAACUAUGCGCGUUAGGUGUACUGGUGACCACGAGUCACCGGGGUGCCGAAGGGAAACCGUGAAACGUGCCGCCUGGGAAGUACGGUCGCAAGGCUGAAACUUAAAGGAAUUGGCGGGGAGCACCACAACGGGUGGAGCCUGCGGUUUAAUUGGACUCAACGCCGGAAAUCUCACCGGAUAGGACAGACAUAUGAUAGUCGGGCUGAAGACUCUACUUGAUGAUCUGAGAGGAGGUGCAUGGCGUCAGUGACU
rnacentral:rRNA from 1 species